UCCACAGAACUUUCCAGAGAUGGAUUGGUGCCUUCGGGAACUGUGAGACAGGUGCUGCAUGGCUGUCGUCAGCUCGUGUUGUGAAAUGUUGGGUUAAGUCCCGCAACGAGCGCAACCCUUAUCCUUUGUUGCCAGCGAUUAGGUCGGGAACUCAAAGGAGACUGCCAGUGAUAAACUGGAGGAAGGUGGGGAUGACGUCAAGUCAUCAUGGCCCUUACGACCAGGGCUACACACGUGCUACAAUGGCGCAUACAAAGAGAAGCGACCUCGCGAGAGCAAGCGGACCUCAUAAAGUGCGUCGUAGUCCGGAUUGGAGUCUGCAACUCGACUCCAUGAAGUCGGAAUCGCUAGUAAUCGUGGAUCAGAAUGCCACGGUGAAUACGUUCCCGGGCCUUGUACACACCGCCCGUCACACCAUGGGAGUGGGUUGCAAAAGAAGUAGGUAGCUUAACCUUCGGGAGGGCGCUUACCACUUUGUGAUUCAUGACUGGGGUGAAGUCGUAACAAGGUAACCGUAGGGGAACCUGCGGUUGGA
rnacentral:rRNA from 1 species